rnacentral:tRNA from 1 species
UCCGGUUCCUGGUCGAGAAUCUGGUCCAGCAGCGGUUGCUCUGGACGUUCGAUAAUGGAUUGCCAUUGAGAAUCUCUUCGGUUCAGCCCGAGGGAUCGGAA